rnacentral:rRNA from 1 species
GGAAUAUUGGACAAUGGGCGCAAGCCUGAUCCAGCCAUGCCGCGUGGAUGAUGAAGGCCCUAGGGUUGUAAAGUCCUUUUAGCGGGGAAGAUAAUGACGGUACCCGUAGCAUAAGCCCCGGCUAACUUCGUGCCAGCAGCCGCGGUAAUACGAAGGGGGCUAGCGUUGCUCGGAAUUACUGGGCGUAAAGCGAACGUAGGCGGGUUGUGAAGUCGGAGGUGAAAUCCUGGAGCUCAACUCCAGAACUGCCUUCGAAACUGGCGAUCUUGAGUUCGGGAGAGGUGAGUGGAACUGCGAGUGUAGAGGUGAAAUUCGUAGAUAUUCGCAAGAACACCAGUGGCGAAGGCGGCUCACUGGCCCGAUACUGACGCUGAGGUGCGAAAGCGUGGGGAGCAAA